UCUUGGAUCACUGAUCCUGAUCCAGAUCACCCCAAAGGAACGCACCCUAAGUCUAACUGCCCCUGGGUUUCCGAGGAUGACGUUUCAGCCACAGGUUCCAAGCGCGAGCAGCGGAAAGCCACUUGAGCCGACUGUACGAGAGGAUGACCAGCAGUUUCCUUCUCAAAUUCAAGAUGGCGGACGGUGAGUAACCGUCGUGCAACGAAUGUUGUUGUUCUGUUUGCACAAAGGGUGUAUUUAUUCUUUUUGUCUUUAAAGUAAAACUAGGCCGAAGUUUGAGUCCCUUUAUGUUAUUUUUUCGAAUAAAAUUCCAGCUUCCUUCACGGAAAAGGGCUGGAAAAUGUACCCAGUCACGGUACACCGGUACUUCCUUCUCUCUGAAGGUUAAAGACAAACUAAGACUUAAUUUGUUAUUUGCAUGCUUAGCGACAUUGUUGGAACUGUCCUCUCUCUCUAGAGUCCAAGUAGGCAAGUACAGCAAAGGCGCUGACUGAAAUUCUCUCGGAGCAAACUCCAUCAAGCACGUGAUUCUAGUUUUGUGCGGUAUACAUGUAGGAUCGGAGGAGUUGGUAAAAGUGCUGUUUACGACACAGAUAGCAUGGACUCUUUACAACAAAGGAAAGAAGGUUGGCACACAGGAUCAGGAUGGUGAAUUAUGUAGACCAAGUAUUCCAAGGAUGAUAAAUUUAGAGGGAAAAGAUGUACACCAGUGUUCUGCUGGUUGGGUUCCGGUUUACACAGACAAGGACAAAUGAGUGGCUGUUGUGUCAAUUGGUUUCUUGUUUAAUAACAGACUGAGAUGAUGUCGUUGUGUGGAGAGGAUCUAAGAAAGAAUGCAACGAUCAAGCAGCUUCUAUCAGAUGUGUGUUGGGGUGACAGGUCUGGAUUGCCAGAUUAUGGAUACACCUCCAUGGCCAGGUAUGACAACAAUAUAAAAUAUAAUUUUCAGAGACUUGUGAUGUACCCAUGUGUGAGGUAAAACAGACAAGUGGUUAAUGUCGUACACUCUAGAUCAAUAGGCCUGGAUUCCAUGGGUCUCUGUACUGCAUUCUUAGGUGAGAGACUUGACUUGCAAUACCUCAUCACAUAGGAGGAGAAAUGAGUACUAACAAGUUGUUGGGCAACCUGAACUGCAAAAAGAUGGGGAUGUUAAGGAGAUUAAGGGGGAGGGAACAAUACUUCACACUAGGAGACUGGUUUUGACCUCUUUUGAUCAGAGUAGAUAUACUCUUUAUUGUUAACUUUGCUGCUAGUGCAAUUGUGCACAUCUCAUUUUGCAGUAUGCAGUGCAAUGCUAUCAUUAUUGCUCUGUUCUAAGAUUGGUUUUGUUCAAUCCAGGGACAUCUGACGACCACAUUACAGUACUUAGUAGAAAAUCUGCAACAUUAUAAUCCAGAUGAAGCAAUUCUUGUCACUACUCCUCAGGGAAUGCGCAAAUUAUGCAUUUUCAAAAGCAGGAGGUGAAGCCUUGGCAACGAGCUGCGAUGUUCAGCCAUUUUUAGGUUCUAUUCUACUGGAUCCCAGUCUAAUGCAAUCCUUAGAAGAUGGCCAAGCCUUUAUUGACUUGUUUCCUAACUCACCAACACUAAAUGCAGUAAAUGUAAUCACUUCCAAACUGUUACAAAUGGAAGGCAAUGGUGAUCAGUGAUUGAAGGAACAAGUGUUACUUAGUUGGAGGACGACUUGCCUGAGCCCUUGCCCAUUGGCUGAGUGAGAAUGAAAAGUAACUUGCCCAGUAGCAAAAUCUACUUGUCGUGGACAACUGGAUGGCACUUUUUUCAAGCCCGGCUCUAGUCAUCAGGGAAGAAAACAUAGAAAAAUAUGGCUUCACCCACUUAAACUCACUUAAACCAAGCAUUGCAUUGUUGUUGGAGCAUAUAAACCACGCACAAUAGCCUCCUUCGCAAAGUUCUACUCGUUAAAGCAAGAAAGUAUGAUUACUGAACAGCAUCUUGUUUUGGGAAAAGCUUCAUUUGAAUUUUCCUUCGAUACACAGUUACAUAGUAUAUGCAACUUCAAGACUUGCUUUGUCUGUGACCUCUUCAGUUGGUCGCCAGUAAAGAUUUGAAUUUGGGAUGACUUCAUGUAACCAUGCAUGAAAAAUAUUACUUGAUACAGAAUAAUAACAAUUGACAAUAAUAUAACCAGAUAGAAACAAUAAUAAUAAGAUAGAAUUAAACCAGCAAAUAAAUAAAUAAGUAGAAAUAAAAAUAAAAAUCAUUAGUUUAGCAUGUGGUAUCAAGGUUUAUAUUUUAUGCAUGGUUACAUGAAGUUACCUUGGAUUUAAAUCUGUUAUGGGGACCAAAUUAAGGGGUCAUAAAAGAAACUAAUUUGUAGUUGUAUACAUUAGUGUAACUGUGUGUUAAAAAAGGAUUUGAAUGCAGUUUUUCCCUAGCAAGAUGAUGUUAAGUGAUUACACUUUAAUGAUUUGACAAGCAGACUGUUGCAGAAAUGAUCUCUAUUCAAAAAAAUAAUUUAAAUGAGGUCUUUCCUAAUCCAGAUAGUUACAAAUCAUAAUUUUACAUGACCAGUAAUAUACCUAAGAUUCUUUGUUCAGAAACUCAUUAAAUGUUGCAGCUGAAAGGUCAAUGAAAAAAAAAGGAAAUAAAUACAAAUGGUACUGCCUCA